ACUCCUGCGGGAGGCAGCAGUGGGGAAUAUUGGACAAUGGGCGCAAGCCUGAUCCAGCCAUGCCGCGUGAGUGAUGAAGGCCCUAGGGUUGUAAAGCUCUUUUGUGCGGGAAGAUAAUGACGGUACCGCAAGAAUAAGCCCCGGCUAACUUCGUGCCAGCAGCCGCGGUAAUACGAAGGGGGCUAGCGUUGCUCGGAAUCACUGGGCGUAAAGGGUGCGUAGGCGGGUCUUUAAGUCAGGGGUGAAAUCCUGGAGCUCAACUCCAGAACUGCCUUUGAUACUGAAGAUCUUGAGUUCGGGAGAUGUGAGUGGAACUGCGAGUGUAGAGGUGAAAUUCGUAGAUAUUCGCAAGAACACCAGUGGCGAAGGCGGCUCACUGGCCCGAUACUGACGCUGAGGCACGAAAGCGUGGGGAGCAAACAGGAUUAGAAACCCCGGUAGUCCCAUGAU
rnacentral:rRNA from 1 species